UACAUAAUUACAAGAGUCAAAAUACUAUAAAUUGAUCUUAAUUAGGAAAUUCAAGGAUUUGAGAUUAUUUAUACAAAAUUAAGCAACCUAAGGCUACUAUAUGUAGCUAUUGAAAAUGUUCUUGUGCAUCACUGCAUGUGGUUCCUAUCAUUGAGCAUUGGAGGCAAAGUAGUUUCCUCUACCUAAGAGAUUAAAAUCUACUACUAAUAAGUUCUUCUCCAUUCAUUGAUAGUUCGCUAGUUCAUUGUUGUAGCCAAAUGUCUUAUCAUCUAAUUAAUGAUGCGCAUGAAUGGAUUAACGGGAUUCCCACUAUCCCUGUCUAUUAUCUAGCGAAACCACUGCUAAGGAAAUAGGCUUGGCGAAAUCAGUGGGAAAAGAAGACCCUGUUGAGCUUGACUCUAGUGCGACUUUAUAAAAUGACUUGGGAGGUGUAGGAUAAGUGGGAGCUAAAAGGCAACAAUAAAAUACUACUACUUUUAACGUUAUUUUACUUAUUCUAUAAAUCAAAGUCGGAGGCUAUGCUCCUUUUUUUGGAUCCAAGGUCGUUUGGGCGGUCGAUUUGGGCUGAAGACAUUGUCAAGUGGAGAGUUUGACUGGGGCGGCACAUCUAUUAAAAGAUAAUAUAGGUAUCCUAAGAUGAGCUCAACGGGAACAGAAAUUUCAUGUGGAACAAAAGGGUAAAAGCUCAUUUGUUUCUGAUUUUCAGUACGAAUACGAAUUGUGAAAGUGUGACCUAUCAAUCCUUUAGACCUUUGAAAUUUGAAGCUAGAGGCGUCAGAAAAGUUACCACAGGGAUAACUAGCUUGUUGUAGCCAAGCAUUCAUAGUGACAUUGCUUUUUGAUCCUUCAAUGUCGGCUCUUCCUAUCAUUGUAAAGCUGAAUUCAUCAAGUGUUGAAUUAUUUACCUACCAAUAGGAGAUAUGAGCUGAGUUUAGACCUUUUGAGACAGAUUAGUUUUACCCUCCUAAUGAUAGUGUUGCAAUAGUAAUUCAACUUAGCACGAUAGGAAUUGUUGAUUCGCACAAUUGGUCAUCAAGACCUUAAUAAAAUAUUUUAUAAUCCAUUAAAAAUAUUAUUAUGAAAUUACUUAUUUUAUAUUAAAAUUUUUUUAUAUAACUAGUAAUUAUAGUAAACUUGGAUGUUAUUGGAAUUCAAAAUAAAUGAUUAUAUUUAAAUUUAUAUCCAUGGAAAAUUUAUUUUGGAAAUAUACAAAUUCUAAUAAAGUAUCAAAAAAUUGGCUCAUCCCUGAGUAC
rfam:Jatropha curcas cultivar GZQX0401 scaffold33_55, whole genome shotgun sequence.